UGCUAAAUUGAUGCUCGUUGAUACAGAAGAAGUUCAGGUGGCUCUGGUCGUCUUCGCCUUUGCCGUGCGUGCCCACGCCUGGAGAUUUGUCGUCGCGGACGGCGGCGAGCCUCCGAGACACAGCGUCGACGAAGCCAAGGGAGAUGUUGAGCUUGGUCCGGUGAUCCCUAAUGGCGUCCUUCAUCCUCUUGAUGACGAACAACUCUGCGCCGUUGGCGUGCUGGGCUCCUAGCUCCUCACCGGCCACGGCUGCCAUGGCCAUCAUGGCCUGCGUGCUCACCGGAUAGCAGCAGGCACUCCCGGGAUGCAUCUUCAAUCAGGAUUGUGUAGCGAGGAAGAUGGCUAUGAUGUUUUGACCCGCGUGACAUGAGACAAGCGAGUUUCGGGUAGGAUUGUGCUUUUCCCAGUCUGCUAAACAUAUGUGGGGUUAGGAUAGACCGGGAUCGAAGAGGUUGGGUACCGAUUUUAGGGAUUUGGAGGUGAGGGUUCAUCUACAUCGACCCCUACAAUCUCAGGGUUUAUUUUAGACUUCACUCUCUCCCGAACGAGGUCCGAUCCGCUCCUCCCCCUCUCCCGAGGAUACGCAGCCGCCGCCUUCGCCGGAUUCGCCGCCGUCGAUCUGCUGAUCCGGGCAGCGCAGCCGCCGCCGAUCUGCCUAUCCAGGCAGACGCGGCCGUCAUGGAUCACGAGAACACCGCGCCUCGAAUACGUUGCCCAUCACCACCACGAUGGCACCUCGCUGCUGCCGCUCAGCAUGGAUGGCCGCCCCAAGACAUGGAUAAGCUCUCGUGAUCCCCACCCCACCCCUCUCAUCCACUGAAUCCAUAUCCUCCUUCCCGUCUUGAUCCCGCCCAUGAUCUGAUCAGGAAGCUGCCCACGGUCCGAUCCCCUGGUUUUUUAUCCAGUUAUCCACCUCUCGUCUCUCGUCUAGCAACCCCCAUCUUCGGUGUGGCGACGUUGCUGACGUCGCCGCGACCUCCCGCAAUUAUAGGCUCGGCCUUCCUCGACUCCAUGCGCGGCUGACGAGGUGGUCUUCGUGCAGAGGUGGUAUGCUCGUGCUCUCCUGGUCCUCCCGAAACGACGAGGGGUAGUGCCGGUCGUGGCUCAGCAGGAUAGCAUAAGCUUGCCCUUGUUCUUUUGUGUUUGAAUCAGAUUUGUUGGUUCUCAGUUUUACAUGCACCUAUCAAUCUUUCUUCUGUAUGCAGGUUACACACCUGAUGAUGUUUACGGCGAGGCGCAGGAACAAGCAGAGGCCGAGGAAGUGCGGGCACACGCGAGGAAGGUUCAGCGGGCUGCAGAAGUCGGGCCACGCCCGGAGCGCCGUGCCAAUGCAUGUGUGCGUGGUUGGUGGGUUGGCCAAGAUCUGCAUUCUGCGACUUCGUCUUCACCAUGGACACAAGCAAGGACUGAUUCGUGGGUCUUGGUAGCAGUGCCGAGCAUCGGCGGAUCGAAGAGGUCGAGGUCGCGGUUGAUCGACCAGGACGAGACAUGCAUCUUGGAGCUAGCGCAGAGGGGGAAAGAAGCAGGUUGGUCUGGCCUGGCCUCGCAAAUGAAUUGAAACCUUGAUGCAAAAGGAAACUUCCUGAAGAAGAUAUUGAAAAUCCAACAUCACAGCAUAUAGGAGACUACUUAUUUUGGUCAUGCUGAUCGAUUGGCCUAUGAAACUUCUGCGACUUCAUAUUCACCAUGGACACAAGCAAGGACUGAUUCGUGGGUCUUGGUAGCGGUGCCGAGCAUCAGUGGAUCGAAGUGGUCGAGGUCGCGGUUAAUCGACCAGGACGAGACAUGCAUCUUGGAGCUAGCGCAGAGGGGGAAAGAAGCAGGUUGGUCUGGCCCGGCCUCGCAAAUGAAUUGGUUCCAAAGUUUGACCGUAGCUAGCUUGAUUUGGAGACAUUUCAUGUUAGGACUUAAACUUUGGUACCUUUGUUACUUGGUAUUCCCCUGUCAGCGUUCAGGAGUCGGGUAGUUGUGGAGUGGGUCGUGGGAGAGACCGUCGGCGAGAGCGGGCUGGAUGGGAAGGUGAUGCCUGCGAUGGCGAACAUGCCGGCGAGCAGGGAAGGGUUGACCAUGGCCAUUGCGCAGCUGAAGAAGUCGAAGCCUGGGGCGAGGUUGGCCACCGUGGCCGAUGUGAAAGCUGACGGACCUAAAGGCUGGUGACAGGUUCACCGCCAUCACAAUCUCUGAACUUGGUGGAGACGCGGAAGGAGAGCGGUGGCGCCGUGAAGACCUCAACGUUUGCUGCCGCGGCCAUGACCAUGAUCAUGACCAUUGUGUUGGUAAUAAAUAUACUAAUUGUAUACAUAUCCCCCAGCUUAGGAAACAUUAGAUAAAUAUCCAACUUAUUAUUGAAAAAGCUUGAUUCAAAAUAAAUGGAACCUUUCCUAUAUACAAUGAGCUUCGGAAACAUUAGAUAAAUAUCCAACUUAUUAUUGAAAACUCUUGAUUCAAGAUAAAUGGAACCUUUCCUAUAUACAGUGACCUUAUUAUUGAAGGUUGCAUCGAUUGUGCUAUUAUUGCUGAAAUAAGAGGCUUAUGAAUUUGUCAAUCUUUGUGUA